rnacentral:tRNA from 1 species
GAGGGUAUAGCUCAGUGGUAGAGCGCAUGCCUAGCAUGCACGAGGUCCUGGGUUCAAUCCCCGGUACUUCCA